rnacentral:RNase_P_RNA from 1 species
GAAGAAGACUGGAUGAUCGCUCCGUACCACUCGCUUCGCUUCGCUCAAUUUGGGCAAAAGGGGUCUGCCCCGUACCUGAGUACCUGAGCGUAGUGAAACGAAGCGAAUGGUACGGGGAGGAAAGUCCGAACACCCUCCGCCAAUGGCGGAGAAGCAGGUACCUUCGAAAUGAAGGCGGGAGUAAAGAGGAUGCAAGAAGUUCUAUAGACUUUUUGGAUUCUUUGAAGCCCAGGGAUAGUGUCACAGAGACUAUACCGCCCACUGGCCCGUUAAUGACUUGCGGGUUAAGGGUAAGGGUGAAAAGAGUGGCCCACCUAUGCUCUUCGAGCUUUGGCGGGCGCGGUUCCGCUUUUCGGCGGAAUCACGGGUAAGAGCCCACAGGUGCGGCGCGCAAUCGCCGUACGCGAAAAACCCUGCCUGGUGCAAGACCGAGUAGGCCCGUACCAGUCUCCGUUAAGGAUUCCGGUACAGGCGGGUAGGUCGCUACAGCCUCAUGGCGACAUGAGGCGCAGAGAGAUGAUCAUCCCUCAACUCUUCCUCGCUGCGUUUGGGUUUGCCCAGGGCAAGUUUCCUUACAAGUAGGGACUUGUCUCGAGUGAGUCCCGAGUAUAGCGAGGGACGAGUCGAGAGACAGAAUUCGGCUUAUAGGUCUUCUUCAGAC